rnacentral:rRNA from 1 species
AGCAGUAGCCGCGGUAAUACGAGGGGGGCAAGCGUUGUUCGGAAUUAUUGGGCGUAAAGGGUGCGUAGGCGGUUUGACAAGUCAUCUGUGAAAUCUAUGGGCUCAACCCAUAGUCUGCAGGCGAAACUGUCGGGCUUGAGUAUUGGAGAGGUGAGUGGAAUUUCCGGUGUAGCGGUGAAAUGCGUAGAUAUCGGAAGGAACACCUGUGGCGAAAGCGGCUCACUGGACAAUAACUGACGCUGAUGCACGAAAGCUAGGGGAGCAAACAGGAUUAGAUACCCGCGUAGUCCCUGUCUCUUAUAC